AACCUGGAGACAGGUGCUGCAUGGCUGUCGUCAGCUCGUGUCGUGAGAUGUUGGUUAAGUCCGCAACGAGCGCAACCCUUGUCAUUAGUUGCUACGAAAGGGCACUCUAAUGAGACUGCCGGUGACAAACCGGAGGAAGGUGGGGAUGACGUCAAGUCCUCAUGGCCCUUAUAGGUGGGGCUACACACGUCAUACAAUGGCUGGUACAAAGGGUUGCCAACCCGCGAGGGGGAGCCAAUCCCAUAAAGCCAGUCGUAGUCCGGAUCGCAGUCUGCAACUCGACUGCGUGAAGUCGGAAUCGCUAGUAAUCGUGGAUCAGCAUGUCACGGUGAAUACGUUCCCGGGUCUU
rnacentral:rRNA from 1 species